UAGCCGUAAACGAUACUCGCUAGGUGUCGGCCACGGUGCGACCGUUGUCGGUGCCGUAGGGAAGCCGUGAAGCGAGCCACCUGGGAAGUACGGCCGCAAGGCUGAAACUUAAAGGAAUUGGCGGGGGAGGCACCACAACGGGUGGAGCUUGCGGUUUAAUUGGAUUUCAACGCCGGAAAUCUUACCGGGACCGACAGCAACAUGAAGGCCAAGCUGAAGACUUUGCCGGAUUAGCUGAGAGGAGGUGCAUGGCGUAGUCGUGU
rnacentral:rRNA from 1 species